GAUGAAUGCUAGCGAAGUGCUUAACACAUGCAAGUCGAACGAAUUUAAUUUAAUAGCAAUAUUGAGUUAAAUUAGUGGCAAACGGGUGCGUAACACAUGUCUAAUCUACCCUUAGGUUCGGUAUAACUAUAGAGAUAUAGCUAAUCCCGGAUAUGAUUCAAGAAAUGAAAAUACUUGAAUGAAAGAUUUAUCGCCUUUGGAGGAGGAUGUGGCCUAUCAGGUAGUUGGUGGAGUAAUAGCCCACCAAGCCUAUGACGGGUAGCCGGUCUUAGAGGAUGUCCGGCCACAAUGGAACUGAGACACGGUCCAUACUCCUACGGGAGGCAGCAGUGGGGAAUCUUGCACAAUGGGCGAAAGCCUGAUGCAGCGACUUCGCGUGAAGGACGAAGCCUUUUGGGGUGUAAACUUCUUUUCUGGGGGACGAAGAAUGACGGUACCUCAGGAAUAAGGGACGGCUAACUACGUGCCAGCAGCCGCGGUAAUACGUAGGUCCCGAGCAUUAUCCGGAUUUACUGGGUGUAAAGCGUCUGUAGCCGGUUUUAUAAGUCUGUUUUCAAAUACCUUGGCUCAACCAAGGAGAGGGAAUGGAUACUGUAUUACUGGAGUAUAUUGGGGGUUAAUGGAAUUUCUGGUGGAGCGGUGAAAUGCGUUGAUAUCAGAAGGAAUGCCAAAAGUGAAGACAGUUAACUACAAUAUUACUGACGGUGAGAGACGAAAGCUUGGGUAGCAAACGGGAUUAGAUACCCCGGUAGUCCAAGCUGUAAAUUAUGUUCGCUAGGUGUUUCUAUGUUUUCAUAGGAGUGCCGUAAUCUAACGAGUUAAGCGAACCACCUGGGUAGUAUAUUCGCAAGAAUGAAACUCAAAGGAAUAGGCGGGGGAACACACAAGCAGUGGACGAUCUCGAUUAAUUGGAUAACACGCCAAAAAUCUUACCUAGGCUUGACAUACAGUGUGUCAUCAGUGAAAGCUGGUUAUUCGUAGCAAUACGAAGCGCUGAACAGGUAGUGCAUGGUCGUCGUCAGCUCGUGCCGCAAGGUGUCUAGUUAAUUCUAGUAACGGGCGCAACCCUCAUCGUAUGUUAGAAUGUCAUACGAGACUGCUUCGGUAACGGAGAGGAAGGAGAGGAUGACGUCAGAUCCUCAUGCUCCUUAUGUCUAGGGCUUCAUAGAUCAUACAAUGGAUAGUAACAAUAGGAAGCAAUAUCGUAAGAUGGAGCCAAACCUAAAACCUAUCCUCAGUUCGGAUUGUAGUCUGGAACUCGACUACAUGAAGUUGGAAUUGCUAGUAAUGGCGAAUCAGCAAUGUCGCCGUGAAUAUGU
rnacentral:rRNA from 1 species